AUUAAACGAAACCCCAAAAAACGAUGCUUUUUUUUUUUUUCCUUUCCCCAAACUCGCUCGAAUUUGGCCUAUAAAUUGCAUGUGAAAUCCAUGAAAAUGAUGAUCUCCCCAUCUAUAUGUUUUAUAAAAAGAAAAGGAAGAAAGAAAAAAACCCAUUUUGAUUUAAUCGAUAAAAACGCGUUUGAAGAACAGAAGAGAAAUGUGAAAAGGGCCCUUCACCAGCCACAUCGACCUCCAUGCCUUUUCUUUUGUCUAUAUAAAUCAAAGUUUUCUUUUCUUUUCUGUUCUUUUCUUUUGUUCUGUAGAUGGAUGGAGAUCAAUAUAAUCAGAUAUAGAGCCCACUUUUGUAAAAAUCGAAAGAGGGUCGAAGAAAUUACAAGAGUGCAAAUGUGAAACCUUGAGAUCUUUCUUGUGGAAUUAGAGCAAAAUUUUUGGCAGACAGGGCCAAGCCAGGCAGUACAAAUGGAAGCUACUACUACUACAACAACAACAACAACAAAAAAAGUUCUUGAUUCAAAGAUUCAAGCCAUUCUUGCUGAUGAUCUUAGAAGAAUCUGUAUGAGUUUUUCUUCUUCUUCUUCUUCUUCUUCUAAUUUGGUAAUUUAAUUUCUUCGAACUUUAAUUAAUUGUUGGAUUAUAUAAUUCAUAUAUAUUUAUAUCGCAUAUUGAUGAAA